rnacentral:rRNA from 1 species
UCGAACGAACCUUCGGGUUAGUGGCGGACGGGUGAGUAACGCGUGGGAAUCUGCCCUCAGGAGGGGGAUAACGGUUGGAAACGACCGCUAAUACCCCAUAUGCCGAAAGGUGAAAUGAAUUUCGCCUGAGGAUGAGCCCGCGUCUGAUUAGCUAGUUGGUAAGGUAAUGGCUUACCAAGGCUUCGAUCAGUAGCUGGUCUGAGAGGAUGAUCAGCCACACUGGGACUGAGACACGGCCCAGACUCCUACGGGAGGCAGCAGUGGGGAAUUUUCCGCAAUGGGCGCAAGCCUGACGGAGCAACGCCGCGUGAGGGACGAAGGCCUCUGGGCUGUAAACCUCUUUUCUCAAGGAAGAAGAUAUGACGGUACUUGAGGAAUAAGCCACGGCUAAUUCCGUGCCAGCAGCCGCGGUAAUACGGGAGUGGCAAGCGUUAUCCGGAAUUAUUGGGCGUAAAGCGUCCGCAGGCGGCUUUCCAAGUCUGCUGUUAAAGCGUGGAGCUUAACUCCAUUAUGGCAGUGGAAACUGUAAGGCUUGAGUAUGGUAGGGGCAGAGGGAA